AUUGAACGCUGGCGGCAGGCCUAACACAUGCAAGUCGAACGGUAGCACAGAGGAGCUUGCUCCUUGGGUGACGAGUGGCGGACGGGUGAGUAAUGUCUGGGAAACUGCCCGAUGGAGGGGGAUAACUACUGGAAACGGUAGCUAAUACCGCAUAACGUCUUCGGACCAAAGUGGGGGACCUUCGGGCCUCACACCAUCGGAUGUGCCCAGAUGGGAUUAGCUAGUAGGUGGGGUAAUGGCUCACCUAGGCGACGAUCCCUAGCUGGUCUGAGAGGAUGACCAGCCACACUGGAACUGGGACACGGUCCAGACUCCUACGGGAGGCAGCAGUGGGGAAUAUUGCACAAUGGGCGCAAGCCUGAUGCAGCCAUGCCGCGUGUAUGAAGAAGGCCUUCGGGUUGUAAAGUACUUUCAGCGGGGAGGAAGGCGUUAAGGUUAAUAACCUUGGCGAUUGACGUUACCCGCAGAAGAAGCACCGGCUAACUCCGUGCCAGCAGCCGCUGUAA
rnacentral:rRNA from 1 species